AAAAGGUAGAAUUAGUAUUUACUUGGAAUUGUUUAUGCAUGUGUAACACUGUAAUAUAUAUAUGAUAAACACACAAUUUCUAGUGACUUAAAAUAUAUGACCUUAGUAUAAGAGUACCUGGCCAAACAAACUAUAUAGACAAUCUAGAUACCCUGAAUAUCUAGACAUGACUUCAUGUGACAUAAUAUGUGCACUACAUAUUAUAAAAGUACUAUAAACAUACUAUAUAGACAAUCUAACAUAAUCUGUGCACUACAUAUUAUAAAAGUACUAUAAACAUACUAUAUAGACAAUCUAAACACCAGUUGCAUGCUUCCAAUUAUCUACACACCAAUUGCCUCCUCCUCUAUGUCAAUUGCUUUCUUUUUUUCUUGAGACCCUUGCUGCUGCGGCCUCCUUUAUACUUAACAUUUGAUUUAAAGGUUUGAUAACCCAAAGGAUCUUAUGCAUAUAUGCUCGUUAUUAAGGUCAUAUUCUUCCUCUCCAAUCUUGUAGUUAUCUGCCUCGUUCUGAUUAUAUUUAAUUGUAUAGUCAUCCGACACCUUAUCAUUAGACUUGUCAGAGUACCUAUCAUGAUCAUUCGAUUUAACCGAUGAUGCUAAUGGCAAUGGCUCAUCAUCUUCAGCAUCUGAAGACUAGAUAUCAGCAUGUUUGUUUUUCAACUUUAUAUCAGUUGAAUCCAUAGGCUCGAUGUUGAUCGCCCCCCUUAGUUUCAAAGCACGGUUUCUAUUCUGGUUAUUAUCAGAAUUGAAUGUGAAACUAUUACCAUCAACUGCAGACACAUGCAAAGUAAACAUGGGCACUNNNNNNNNNNNNNNNNNNNNNNNNNNNNNNNUAUAUAUAUAUACCAAAUAAAAUUUGCACAAGUGGUAAUCAUAAUACAGUUACAGCUAGCCACUAAGUGUCUUUGUUGGUUAACUCUUUCUUUUUUAUCGUAAAAUUUCCAGAAACUAAGACAAUAGACAUGGUGUCAUCAUCGUUGGAGGAUCUGUUUGCAUCUAUUUUUAAUGUUUGACCGCAUCACUGAAAACAAAUCACAAAGUCAUAAACAAAAUGAUAAACUAUUUAAUCAAAAGAAAUAAAAAACACUCUUACUUACAUUAAUUGAUUGUGUUUAAUCUUUUUCAGAUUCUUCCCAAGUCACAAGCAAAAUGAUGAAGUUUUCCCAUACUUCACACACAAAAUCAAGAUUAAAAUUUUUCACGGAAAGAUCAUAUCCUAACUUGGGUUUGCACUGUCGAAUCAACUCAUACUUAAGUUGGUUUGACGGUGGAAACCCAAGCUAGGACAUGAUCUUUCUGUGAAGAAUUUGAAUCAUGAUUUCGUGUGUGAAGUAUGUGGAAACCUCAUCACUUUGCUUUUGACUGUGGGAGAAUCUGAAAAAACUGAAACACAAUCAAUUAAUGUAAGUGAGAGUACUUUUUAUAUUUCUUUUGAUUAAAUAGUUUAUCAUUUUGUUUAUGACUUUGUGAUUUGUUUUCAGUGAUGCGGUCAAACAUUAAACAUAGAUGCAAAUAAAUCCUCCAACGACAACAACAAUGAUGACACCAUGGCUAUUGUCUCGGUUUCUGAAAAUUUUACGAAAAAAAGAAAGAAUUAACUAGUAAAGACAUUCAAUGGCUAGUUGUAAGUGUAUUAUGAUUACCACUUUUACAGAUUUUAUUUGGUAUAUAUAUGUGUGUAUUUAUAUAUAGUGACCAUGUUUACCUUACAUGUGUCUGCAGUUGAUGGUAAUAAUUUCACAUUCAAUUCAGAUGAUAACGGGAAUGCAAACCAUGCUUUGAAACUAAAUGGGGCAAUCAACAUUGAGCCUAUGGAUUCAGCUGGUAUGAAGCUGAAAAGGAAACAUGCUGAGAUUCAACCUACUGAUGCUGAAGACGAUGAAAAUGAUGAACCACUGUCAUUUGCAUCACCGGUUAAAUCGAAUGAUCAUGAAAGAUACUCUGAUACGUCUGAUGAUGAACUAUCGGAUCACUAAAACAACUAAAUAUAACUGUUUACGCCUGAUGAUGAACUAUCGGAUCACUAAAACAACUAAAUAUAACCGGAGCGAGGCAGAUAACUACGAGAGUGACGAGAAAGAAUAUGACUUUAUUAUUCGAAAAAAUUAUUUAAAUACUCAAUUUAAAUAAAAUUUAUUUACAAUUUUAAUUUAUUAUUUUCCAAAAUAUUUAAAUAAAUCCCAAAAAUUUAUUUAAAUCAAAGUACAAUUUAUAAUUUAAAAUUUCACAACAAUCAAAUGUUUAUUUNNNNNNNNNNNNNNNNNNNNNNNNNNNNNNNNNNNNNNNNNNNNNNNNNNNNNNNNNNNNNNNNNNNNNNNNNNNNNNNNNNNNNNNNNNNNNNNNNNNNNNNNNNUAUAUAUAUAUAUAAAGAAAAUAAGUUUAGAAAAUUUAUAUUUUAAAAUUUUGGGUUUCUAUUGAAAGGAUUUUUCGAUAUUUGGGUGGAUUGUGAAUAUUUCAAAUGUAAGUUUAGGACUUAGGACCAGAUUUGAGUUUUUGGGAGUGAGGGGUUAGAUCUGGACAAUAUCAUAGUUGGGAGACUGUACGUGGCAAAAUCAUAUGCAUGUUUGUGUAUCUGGUUCAUGAACAGGAGGGAAACCUCCUGUUCUUCUUCUUCGUUUUCGUAAUACACCGAAAGGAAAAAAUAUAUAUAUACGGUGGUCCUUUGAUUUGUCUGAAUCGAAGAGAACAAAAAAAAAAUGAAAAGGAAAAGAUGGCGGUGACUCACAGGGGCGGAGCAGCAGCAGCAUAAGGGUGGUGACCGGUGGUUUUGAGACUGCAACCGGAGGCCGACGGAGGUGGUGGUUUAGAUGUUGCUGCCUUCGUUUCUUCCUCCUUCCAGUUGUACUUCGAUGCAGGGAGUAUUUAGAAGCUUUUGGGGAUCGAAAUCAACUUAGGGGUGAAAUUUUUAGGUGAUGGCAGUGGGUUUUUGAAGGUGGUAGUGGGGUGGUGCAGUGGAGGGGGGUGUGGCCGGCAGCCUUCUGCUGCCGGUUGCUUCUUGUGUUUCCGGCCAAAAUGAAGGCCGAGGAAGAUGGUGGUGGUUAAGGGGGUUAUAAGGAAGGGGUUGGAGGGUUUGAUGAUGGUUUUAGAUGGUGGUGUAGGGUGGUUCUUCUAGCCUUUCACAGAAAUGGUGAGGGGGAAGAGAGAGAGUGAUAGAGAGAAGAGUGGCUGACGAAUUUGUGAGGAGAAGUAUUGGCUUCUAU
rnacentral:lncRNA from 1 species